UUAUAAUCCUUAAAUUCAAAGAAUUUGGCGGUAAUUAAGUCUUUUUAGAGGAACCUGUUCUUUAAUUGAUAAUCCACGAUUGAUUUUACUUUAAUUUUAUUUGUAUACCUCUGUCAUUGAAUGUAUUUUAAGAUUUAUUUUCUUUAUUUUUUGUAAAUUGAUGUUAGGUCAAGGUGCAGUUUAUUAAAGUGGAAAUGGGUUACAAUAAUUAUUUUUGGAUAUUUAUAUUUGAAAUUUUUAAUUGAAAUAGGAUUUAAUAGUAAUUUUUUUUAAAUCAAAAUUUUGAUUUUAGCUCUUAAUUAU
rnacentral:rRNA from 1 species